UACGUAGGGUGCGAGCGUUAAUCGGAAUUACUGGGCGUAAAGCGUGCGCAGGCGGUUUGUUGUGUCUGAUGUGAAAGCCCCGGGCUUAACCUGGGAAUGGCAUUGGAAACUGGCAAGCUGGAGUGUGGCAGAGGGGGGUGGAAUUCCGGCGUGUAGCAGUGAAAUGCGUAGAUAUGCGGAGGAACACCGAUGGCGAAGGCAAUCCCCUGGGCCUGCACUGACGCUCAUGCACGAAAGCGUGGGGAGCAAACAGG
rnacentral:rRNA from 1 species